GAUCCGCCCGCCUCAGCCUCCCAAAGUGCCGGGAUUACAGGUGUCAGCCACCGCACCAGGCCAGUUCAUUAGAAUUUUUAAAACAGGCUGGGCAUGGUGGCUUACGCCUGUAAUCCCAGCAGUUUGGGAGGCCGAGGCAGGUGGAUCACCUGAGGUUGGGAGUUUGAGACCAGCCUGACCAAUGUGGAGAAACCCCAUCUCUACUAAGAAUACAAAAUUAGCCAGGCAUGGUGGUGCAUACCUGUAAUCUCAGCUACUGGGGAAGCUGAGACAGGAGAAUUGCUUGAACCCAGGAGGCAGAGGUUGCGGUGAGCUGAGAUCGCGCCAUUGCACUCCAGCCUGGGCAACAGGAGUGAAACUCCAUCUCAAGAAAAACACAAAAUACAAAACAAAACAAAACAAAAAAACAGAACUGGGCCGGGCGCGGUGGCUCACGCCUGUAAUCCCAGCACUUUGGGAGGCCGAGGCGGGUGGAUCACGAGAUCAGGAGAUCAAGACCAUGGUGAAACCCCGUCUCUACUAAAAAUACAAUAAAUUAGCCGGGCAUGGUGGCGGGCGCCUGUAGUCCCAGCUACUUGGGAGGCUGAGGCAGGAGAAUCGCUUGAACCCGGGAGGCAGAGGUUGCAGUGAGCCGAGAUCACGCCAUUGCACUCCAGCCUGGGCAACAAGAGCAAAACUCCGUCU
rnacentral:lncRNA from 1 species